AUUGGAGAGUUUGAUUCUGGCUCAGAACGAACGCUGGCGGCGUGGAUAAGACAUGCAAGUCGAACGCGACUUUCCCGGUUAGCAAUAACUGGGAAAGUUGAGUGGCGAAUGGGUGCGUAACACGUGGGAAUUUACCCGGAAGUGGGGGAUAGCUCGUCGAAAGGCGAAUUAAUACCGCAUACGCCCGUAAGGGCAAAGUGGGGGACCGCAAGGCCUCACGCUACCGGAGGAGCCCGCGUCCUAUCAGCUAGUUGGCGGGGUAACGGCCCACCAAGGCUAAGACGGGUAGCUGGUCUGAGAGGACGACCAGCCACACUGGAACUGAGACACGGUCCAGACACCUACGGGUGGCAGCAGUCGAGGAUUUUUCUCAAUGGGGGCAACCCUGAAGGAGCGACGCCGCGUGGAGGAUGAAGGGCUUCGGCUUGUAAACUCCUGUCACCGACGAACAAGGCAUCCGGUUGAACAUUCCGGGUGAUUGAUGGUAGUCGGAGAGGAAGGGGCGGCUAACUCUGUGCCAGCAGCCGCGGUGAUACAGAGGCCCCGAGCGUUGUUCGGAUUUACUGGGCGUAAAGGGUGUGUAGGGGGUCGGGUAAGUUUGACGUGAAAGCCCGCUGCUUAACAGCGGAACGGCGUCGAAUACUGCCCGGCUGGAGGUUCGGAGAUGAGAGCGGAAUUCUCGGUGUAGCGGUGAAAUGCGUAGAUAUCGAGAGGAACGCCGACGGCGAAAGCAGCUCUCAAGACGACACCUGACCCUGAGACACGAAGGCCAGGGGAGCAAACGGGAUUAGAUACCCCGGUAGUCCUGGCAGUAAACGGUGCUCAUUAGACGUGGGCGGAUUCGACCCCGCCCGUGUCGAACCUAACGGAUUAAAUGAGCCGCCUGGGAAGUACGGUCGCAAGAUUAAAACUCAAAGAAAUUGACGGGGGCCCGCACAAGCGGUGGAGUAUGUGGCUUAAUUCGAUGCAACGCGAAGAACCUUACCUGGCGGAUUGGAGGCUGCAACUCGCCUCCAUGAAGCCGGAAUCGCUAGUAAUGGCGCAUCAGCUACGGCGCCGUGAAUACGUUCCCGGGCCUUGUACACACCGCCCGUCACAUCAUGAAAGCCGGUCUUACCCAAAGUCGUCUUUGACGCCCAAGGUAAGGCUGGUGAUUGGGAUGAAGUCGUAACAAGGUAGCCGUAGGGGAACCUGCGGCUGGAUUACCUCCUUUCUAAGGAGUAA
rnacentral:rRNA from 1 species